AUGCAGUCUCUGUUCAAGAAACUUUCAGUGCUUCCUAACGCCGAUGGCCCAUUGCUGGGGGCACAGCUGGGCACAACAGGGCGAUGCACGGCAGCAGGACAGCACCUGGGGGUGCCUGCAGUGCACAGAGCCCAAAGCCUCACUUCCUAUGGAGAGCUUUAUCCCAGAGCUGUGCUCCCGCAGCAUCCUGCCGGCACUACACAAAGCAGGACUGGGAUUUACGGCUGUAACUUCCUAAAAAAAAGGGGACCAGAGACGGGGGAAAGGCAGGCCCGGCGCCGGGAAGCCCAAACAAAGGGCAGGGAGCAGGUAACUGCCAUCGGCACGGAACGCGCCGAGGCGGGCAGGCUCCGCAGGCGGCAGGGCCGGGCUACAGGAAAGUUUGAGCGCUCCGACGGGGCAGAGGGGCGAUCCGAGAACCGCAGCGCUCCGGGGGGGCACGGCGGCCCGGCCCCGCUUCGGGCAGCGGCUCUCCCCAGCCAAGGCCUGGCGCUGGGGGCGGCGGGGUCCGCNNNNNNNNNNNNNNNNNNNNNNNNNNNNNGGGGGGGGGGGGGGGGGGGGGGGGGGGGGGGGGGGGGGGGGGGGGGGGAGAGAGGCGAUCCCCCCUUUUUUCUCAGCGCAUUUGGAGGGGAGCGGGGCCCGCGGACACGGGGGCGGGACGCGGGCCGGGCCGGGCGGAGCGAGCGGCCGCCGGCGGCUCGGGGGGAACCGAAGGGGGCAGCGCUCCGGGGAUCGCCUCCCGAGGGGACGGAGCCGGGACCCCCGGGGGCGGGCGGGCGGCUGCGGCCCGGCGGCGGGGCGGGCGGUCGGGGCGGCCGACCCGGGCGGAGGAACGGGACCGAGGCGCCGCGCGAGCCCCGGGGCGGGCGGCAAAAGCGGCGGGUAGGGGCGAGGAGGCGCGGGGCGCUCGGUCGGUGCCCCAGUCAGUCAAUCAGUCCCUCGGCCGGUCGGCGGUCACUCACCCGUGCGGCGGGUGGGGCGGCGGGGAGAGGAGCCGCUCGGGCACACCCCCACCCCCCGUCGCCGCCGGUCUCUCACGGCCGCUCGCUCGCCGGGACCGUCCCUUUCAUUCGGGGCAGGGGACGCUACGCUGCGCCGCCGCCGCCGCCGAGCGCAAGCACGCACGCACGCACGCACGAGCGGACGCACGCACGCACGCACGCACGGCGCGCUCGGGCCGCGACGCCGCGACGCUGCGGGGCGGUGCCCGAUUGGCGCGCGAGGAGGCGCGGCGGGAGCACGCCGGCUUCCUGCGCAUGCGCGCCGCCGCGCGCCUACUGCUCCCCCUCCCCGGCGCCGCACCCCCACAGUCCGCUCCUCCGCGAGGCCCGGAGUCGAGGGAGCCUGGAAACGGAAGGGGGAGUGGCGGGCGCGCUCUGCGCGUGCGCAUCUCUCACCGGCGGCCGUUGGAAGCCGGUGGGGGGGGGAGAGGACGGGCUGCCGGCUCCGCGCAGGCGCGGUGCUUGA
rnacentral:lncRNA from 1 species